GAUGAACGCUGGCGGCGUGCCUAAUACAUGCAAGUCGAACGAACAGACGCGGAGCUUGUUCCUCUGACGUAGGCGGCGGGCGAGCGGGUAACUAGUGGGUGACCUACCUAUCAGACUGGGAUAAAUUACAGAAACCGGAGCUUGUAACUAAUGAUAUAUUGAACCGCAUGGAUCAAUAGUGAAAGACGGUUUUGCUGACACUUAUAUAUGAGUCCGCGCCGCAUUAGCUAGUUGGUAAGGUAGAGGCUUACCAAGGCAACGAUGCGUAGCCGACCUGAGAGGGUGAUCGGCCACACUGGAACUGAGACACGGUCCAGACUCCUACGGGAGGCAGCAGUAGGGAAUCUUCCGCAAUGGGCGAAAGCCUGACGGAGCAACGCCGCGUGAGUGAUGAAGGUCUUCGGAUCGUAAAACUCUGUUAUUAGGGAAGAACAAAUGUGUAAGUAACUAUGCACGUCUUGACGGUACCUAAUCAGAAAGCCACGGCUAACUACGUG
rnacentral:rRNA from 1 species